CCGGGCGGUGCGCAAGGCGCGGCGGGUCAUCACCUCGCGGGAGGUGCGGCACGCGGCCUGACCGCGUCCGCCGCCGCUCAGCGCGGUGCGGUCGGG
rnacentral:tRNA from 1 species